rnacentral:rRNA from 1 species
UGGGGAAUCUUGGACAAUGGGGGCAACCCUGAUCCAGCCAUGCCGCGUGAGUGAUGAAGGCCUUAGGGUCGUAAAGCUCUUUCGCCUGUGAAGAUAAUGACGGUAGCAGGUAAAGAAACCCCGGCUAACUCCGUGCCAGCAGCCGCGGUAAUACGGAGGGGGUUAGCGUUGUUCGGAAUUACUGGGCGUAAAGCGCACGUAGGCGGACCAGAAAGUUGGGGGUGAAAUCCCGGGGGCUCAACCCCGGAACUGCCUCCAAAACUAUUGGUCUAGAGUUCGAGAGAGGUGAGUGGAAUUCCAAGUGUAGAGGUGAAAUUCGUAGAUAUUUGGAGGAACACCAGUGGCGAAGGCGGCUCACUGGCUCGAUACUGACGCUGAGGUGCGAAAGUGUGGGGAGCAAACAGGAUUAGAUACCCUGGUAGUCCACGCCGUAAAACGAUGAGCACUCGGUGCCGCGGGGUAUCGACCCCUGCGGUGCCUGAGCUAACGCAUUAAGUGCUCCG